CAGAGGGAGCAGCAGGUUCCAUGCAGGAGCCUGAUGUGGGACUCGAUCCGCGGAUUCCAGGAUCACGCCCUAGGCCAAAGGCAGGCACUAAACCACUGAGCCACCCAGGGAUCCCCAAUUUCUGCCAUCUUAAAUAGGUCUUGGUGUGGACUUGCUUGGGUUCACCUUGUUUGGGACUAUCUAUGAAUCCUGGACCUGGAUAUCUGUUUCUUAGAUUAAGUAGAUAGCUGUGUCUCCUGACCUUGAAAAUAGUGGUGUGGUAUAGAAGAGAUCCUGUGCUGCCCUGUAGUGCAACACCCCUUGGUCACCAAGACCAGGUGCUCCAGACAUCACCCUGGAGUAGGCUAUUUUAUUUAUUCAUGAGAGACACAGAAAAUCAGAGACCUAGGCAGAAGGAAAAGCAGGCUUGCUGCAAGGAGCCUGAUGCAGGACACCAACCCAGGAUCCAGGAAUCACAACCUGAGCCAAAGGCAAACGCUCAACCACUGAACCACCCAGGCACCCCAAGACUUGCUGAUUUUCACACCAGAUAUCACAGGAAUAAUUCCUUGUUCUGUCUGACACAAGGAGGGAGAGAUUAUAUGCGGGAAUCAAAAUGCCUACCUCCUGUCAGUUGCUCCAGAAGCGCACACGAUGAGGCUCCAACUCUUGAAUUUGUAGCAUCCUUGCAGCCAUUCUGUGUUGUCAACAGUACCCUCCAUCAGCUCUAGGCUCCUGUGUCUUGGAAGACUUGGGGACCGUCAAGACCAUGAGCUUGGGAACUACAGAGACUCUAAAGAAUGUUCAAACAAGUCAACAAGAGAGAUGUCCUUUCCUUUCAGCAUGUCAGGACAGAGGCUCAGCAAAGUGGUGGUCUUUUGCUUGAAAGAGUGCCUUUCACAUUGGUCCUUUGUACUGGUUUCCGGACAAAUGUUGCCUAAUUCCAGGACAGGAACCUGCAGCAUCUCCAAGUUUCCUCCACACAACCUUAAAAAAGGUAGAAAAUGAGUAAAUAAAUAGCAUCUUAAUGGCCUCUAUGGUUUUUAAAGGGGGAUCUAUGAGAGGGGCAAAGAGAAAUGUGAAGACGAGACAAAAUAUCUCCAUGAAUGAGUUCAAACACAAUGAAAUGUGAUGGAAGUUCUAAAUCACAAGGGCUGCUUAGUAGAGGGAACCUACUAUGCUUUGUUAGCAAUCAGGGUCAAAAUUAAAGAAUGAUGUCCAAA